rnacentral:rRNA from 1 species
CCUACGGGAGGCAGCAGUGAGGAAUAUUGGUCAAUGGACGCAAGUCUGAACCAGCCAUGCCGCGUGCAGGAAGACGGCUCUAUGAGUUGUAAACUGCUUUUGUACGAGGGUAAACGUAUAUACGCGUAUCUGUUUGAAAGUAUCGUAUGAAUAAGCAUCGGCUAACUCCGUGCCAGCAGCCGCGGUAAUACGGAGGAUUCAAGCGUUAUCCGGAUUUAUUGGGUUUAAAGGGUGCGUAGGUGGUCGGAUAAGUUAGAGGUGAAAUUCCGAGGCUCAACUACAGAAUUGCCUUUGAUACUGUACGACUAGAGAGUGGUUGCGGUAGGCGGAAUGUAUGGUGUAGCGGUGAAAUGCUUAGAGAUCAUGCAGAACACCGAUUGCGAAGGCAGCUUACCAAGCUACAUCUGACGUUGAAGCACGAAAGCGUGGGGAGCGAACAGGAUUAGAUACCCUAGUAGUC